rnacentral:rRNA from 1 species
UGGGGGAUAGCCCGGCGAAAGCCGGAUUAAUACCGCAUACGCUCUGAGGAGGAAAGGGGGGGAUCGAAAGACCUCUCGCUCAAGGGGCGGCCGAUGGCAGAUUAGCUAGUUGGUGGGGUAAAGGCCUACCAAGGCGACGAUCUGUAGCUGGUCUGACAGGAC